CACGGCCCAGACUCCUACGGGAGGCAGCAGUGGGGAAUAUUGCACAAUGGGCGAAAGCCUGAUGCAGCGACGCCGCGUGAGGGAUGACGGCCUUCGGGUUGUAAACCUCUUUCAGCAGGGAAGAAGCGAGAGUGACGGUACCUGCAGAAGAAGCGCCGGCUAACUACGUGCCAGCAGCCGCGGUAAUACGUAGGGCGCAAGCGUUGUCCGGAAUUAUUGGGCGUAAAGAGCUCGUAGGCGGCUUGUCACGUCGGAUGUGAAAGCCCGGGGCUUAACCCCGGGUCUGCAUUCGAUACGGGCAGGCUAGAGUUCGGUAGGGGAGAUCGGAAUUCCUGGUGUAGCGGUGAAAUGCGCAGAUAUCAGGAGGAACACCGGUGGCGAAGGCGGAUCUCUGGGCCGAUACUGACGCUGAGGAGCGAAAGCGUGGGGAGCGAACAGGAUUAGAUACCCUGGUAGUCCACGCCGUAAACGUUGGGAACUAGGUGUGGGCGACAUUCCACGUCGUCCGUGCCGCAGCUAACGCAUUAAGUUCCCCGCCUGGGGAGUACGGCCGCAAGGCUAAAACUCAAAGGAAUUGACGGGGGCCCGCACAAGCAGCGGAGC
rnacentral:rRNA from 1 species